UAGGGAAUCUUCGGCAAUGGACGAAAGUCUGACCGAGCAACGCCGCGUGAGUGAAGAAGGUUUUCGGAUCGUAAAACUCUGUUGUUAGAGAAGAACAAGGACGUUAGUAACUGAACGUCCCCUGACGGUAUCUAACCAGAAAGCCACGGCUAACACCGUGCCAGCAGCCGCGGUAAUACGUAGGGGGCAAGCGUUGUCCGGAUUUAUUGGGCGUAAAGCGAGCGCAGGCGGUUUCUUAAGUCUGAUGUGAAAGCCCCCGGCUCAACCGGGGAGGGUCAUUGGAAACUGGGCGACUUGAGUGCAGAAGAGGAGAGUGGAAUUCCAUGUGUAGCGGUGAAAUGCGUAGAUAUAUGGAGGAACACCAGUGGCGAAGGCGGCUCUCUGGUCUGUAACUGACGCUGAGGCUCGAAAGCGUUGGGAGCAAACAGG
rnacentral:rRNA from 1 species